ACCGUGGAGGUGUUCCCGGUACGCAGGAGAGGUGGAUAAGGGGCCUUUCGCGUCGUGCAGGAUGGAUGGGAACAUGCAAAACUAAGCCCUCUUUCCCCGAGGACUGAAAUCUUUCCCGGGAGCCAAAACUCUAAACCCACGGGAGAGGCUCUGUCAGAAUAUGACGCUCAUGGGGCGUAGCUUUUACCAUAUAUGGAGCUCUGACUGUUCCUGUCAUACUUUGGCGCUAUACUAUACGAGUAUAGCAUAGAAGCAACCUGAGAACACUCGCUCUACUUUCCUCUUGCAAUGUGAUCCUUACGAUGCACCCAACUCUGUGUCCUCUGUACCUGCGUCUCUUUCUCUUGCCAAUAACGGGGAUGUUGGCCUUGUCGGGUGUUCGCAGUAUAUCCUGUGCUUCCUGCUUGUUGAAGAAAACAUCUUUGUCUAAUCCGAGGAGAGUUCUGCCGCUAAAGGGAAGGAUAAGAGCACAAGGCGCCACGGGUAUAAGGUUCCCCUGAGCAACGAUGAAAGUUUCAACCUGCGGCACAUGGGUGUAACUUUAACUGGAAUAAUGUGGAUCAAAGACUGACAAACAAAGCGGGUGGAAAUGCUGGAGUAGUGUCUGUGUUCGAGUAAAGGACGUUCACCAGAGAGGGACAGCGUUUAUGAAACGCAGACAAAGAAACUGUAAUUCAUUACUGAGAUAGUGUGUUUGUGCUCCCGAAGCUACUGAAUUAAAUGAUCAACAUUAUUAACACUGUAUAACAUCUGUGACAUAUUUACAUUGGUGUUAUUUACAUUAUUUAUUUAAGUAAGUCGGUGGCAAAUUAACAGUGCAACUUAUUGUACUUUAUAGAAAAUAUUCAAGUUCGAACUCCUGCAGCCUCAGAUGUAUCAAAGCUGCAUUUAUUCAAUAAACAACUAUUCAAAAUAAGUGUUUGUUCCUUGAAAUCCUGUCAGAAAUGUGGUCUAGAAAUCCGUGGCAUACUUGAACUCAUCAGAGGGGACCAGUUCUAUGUGGAAGUGUAACCUUUACACUGCAAUUGAACUUCCACAUACACAUGUUAUGAAAGGUCCCAGUGGCCCCCUGGUCUUCUGACAUUGAUUUGAAGACUUGCUACUUUAUUAUGUACUAAGCCCUUUAAACGUGUCCUAUACUGUGGCAUGUUAUGAGCCAAUGCUUCAUUGUCCAGCUUUAUUGAGAGUCGGUGUACGCACAGUCUCCACCAUUUCCCCAGAGUGAGGUCAUGGUUGUAGGAAGGAGAGACGAUCCAAGUGCAAUUUUGUCUCUCUUAUCUGUUGUUAUAACAGAAGGAUUCCAAUAAGCCAGGGAAUGGCCUAUUCAGGUGUUAUUCAUAAAAAAAUGUAAGCAAAGAUAU